AAUUUAGAUUUUUCGGCGUCUUUGGUCUCAACUGCUUUACCCAGGCAUAUCUUGCAUUUUUUUAUGGCUCGUUCUUGAUCGGUACCACUUGUUGGUGCUAAUCCAUCAUGCACCAUUUUCACUCUCAUCAGAUUCUGGGCCAUCAAUUUUUUUUUACCUUCGAUAACCCAAUCUUGAAACCCAAUCUUGAAGAUCGCAUAUUGCGUUCAUUCUAAGCAUGUAGCAAUUGGAUUC
rnacentral:lncRNA from 1 species